GAAAUAAGCUGACCUAUCGCCAGAUUUUAGGAUUUGGAGGAAAGUCCGAACAACAUAGAGCAUCAUGCUACCUAACGGGUAGGGGAGACUUGUCUUCACAGCUAGUGCCACAGAAAAUACCGCCUAGCGAGAGCUCGGUAAGGGUGAAAAGGGGGUGUAAGAGACCACCGGUUUUGUUGUGAAGCAAAACGCAGAGGUAAACCUCAUGAGUUGAAAGACCAAAUAAACCGACAUUAAAGAGUUGCUCGCUCAAGUCGGAGGGUAGGUUGAUAAAGGUUUUGAGCGAUCAAAACACUAGAUAAAUGAUAGGAUAGAACAGAAUUCGGCUUAUUAGCUUAUUUCAUUU
rnacentral:RNase_P_RNA from 1 species